rnacentral:lncRNA from 1 species
CAGUAGACAGCUAAACUACUUUUUCACUCUCCUUGUUUCAUCUCUUAGGAACAGAAUUCCAAGAGCAAACUUUCAAUUACAGCAUAUGCACAAGAGAAUGAAAAGCAUCAACCUAGAUCACCAAAUCACAGCUAAGUUUUCUUUGCAUUGCUGCUUUAUCAGUUGCACUAUUUAAAUAACCGUGGGGAGAAUAUUUCCCAUGCUGUUCUCUAGACAUGAUUCCAAGUUUGGAACUUGAUGCUCAAUCACAUCUUUUGACAACAUCUAGAUCCAUAAUUUGUCGUUCACCUGCUCAGACUAUUAGUAGUUCUACUUUAAGAACUAAACCUACAUAGAAUUUUCCUACUUGGAAGGCCAGACGUUUAAGAAAAUUGGAUAAACAAUAAUUGACCUAGGUGCAGAAUCGCUCCACUCAGUGUUAUCUAAUUGCUUAAGCAAUAUUCCAAUCUUGGGUCAGAUAAGAGUUCGCAGGAUUCUGUGUGAUCUCAGCUUAUUAGUCUGGCUUACAUAACCAGAGUUUAUUAUAUUUGGUUCUGCACUGCAUGUUGAACUUUUAAUCAUCAACCUACUUCAUAUCAAGGGGACAUCAGACCAAAGGAUCAAGAUCAUUCUAAAUUUUUAUAAGAUAUAAUAUCUCGGAGGUUACUUCCGUUAGAGGGUAUAUUGAUGCAUUUUUUUUUUCAUGGCAGAAAUACUUCAAUUUAAUGUCAUCCUCGUCUAAUGUCCAGAGCUUUUAGUUUUAUAUUACCUCUCUAUUUGCCAAAUCUAGGAAAAUUCUUAAUCCAAAGUUUCACAGUUGUUGAUGACACCAAGGUAUCACAUCAUGCUACUCUCUCUGUUUAUUAACUUUGUGCCUUGAUAUUUCAGUGCAUUUCAUCAGCUAUACAAUCUGCUUGGAACAAAAGCAACAGCUAUAGUUGAGGAAAACCCGGCUCUACAUGAGCCCACACUUGUGAUCACUUCUCUCUACGAAUAGUGGCUUCAUCAAUCAACAAUGCCCGCAAAUCAAAAAUUUAAUUCGGACAGUCGUCUCAAUUCUAAAGCUCUAAAACUCAAUCAUAUCGCGGAAGAUUCCACAGACAAGACAUGAGUAGAAUGAAACAUCUACCCUUGAUUUUGAACAUGAAAACCAGGUGAAACAAACCACAAUUGCUAAAUAUGAACUCUCCCUGCUGACAUAGUGAAAAGAAACGAUACAGUUUUUUUUGCAAUGAUCUCAGAAAUUCUACAUAUAGCCCACUCUUAAUUUUUGUGCUUUGUAAUUACCGUCCAUUUCAGCAGUUAUAAAAUCUGCUUGGAACCUAAGCAACAGCCAGAGUUCAUAAGAACUUGUAAUCACUUCUCUCUAUGAAUAAUGGCAGUCAACAAUGACUGCAAAUGGAAGAUUGAAUUCAGAAGCUCAUAUGAAUUUUUGAGCCCCAAAGCUUUAGCAUAUCAGUGAAGAUUCCACAGACAAGGCAUGAAUAGAAUGAAACAUCUAUCCUCAGUUUUGAAAAUGAAAACCAGGUGAAACAAACCACAAUUGCUGAAUCUGUCUCCCGAUGAUAUGAUGAAAAUAAACAAUAGAGCUCUUUGCAUUGAUCUUAGACGAUCUAUCCAUAGCUCACUCUUGAACUCAGCACCAGUCAGAUGAUGUUCAUUUGCAUGCCUUUAUGAUAUUAAACAGGUUAUUGCACUUGUUUACAAUAAGAUGAGCCCAUGUCUUACUUCUUUUUUUUUUUUUUUUUUGAGAAAAUGUCUUACUCAUUUAGAGACUCGAUGACUAUGCUUUGUUCAUUGCCUCAUUCAUAGCCCUCAGCUUGGUAAUACAAGCCUCCCUGACAUUAACAACAAUCUCACUAAAAACAUAGUCACUUUCUAAGCAAAAAACAAAAACUAUUGCCAUUAAGAUUUGUUCUGGACUUCUAUCUAUUUCUUGUCCCUUAAGGUUUGUUUGUCGCCCAAGAUUAGUUAUUAAUGCAACAUGAGUGCACCUCAGAUCUUGAUAUUCAAAACUUUGGAACAAAGACCUUAAUACAAGUCAAAUAGUCACAUGAUUUUGUCAAUAUUCCUCAGACAUUUUGCUGAUAUGGGUCCUACCAUUUUCAUCCACCUAAUAGUUGCAUGAUUUUGUCAGUAGUCCUCAGACAUUUCACUGAUAUGGUCAUACGAUUUCCAUCCAGCUGCAUGUUGACAUUCUUC